AAGACUGUACUUUCAGAGAUCGUUUCUAUAGUUCUUAACUAGAAAAUAUGUUUUGAAGGUGUUGUGUUUUCCAUUCCUAAAUUAUGAGUGUUGAUACUCUUUACUGAAUGUGAAUUGAGUGCAGAGUAAUGAUUCUCUUCAUUCAUUUUACACCGUUGAUGACCGUUCUUAAUUGCUUGUUGACAGUAUGGAAGAAAAGCGUGUGAUCAGAGUGGU
rnacentral:snoRNA from 1 species